UCCCUGGUGGCUCAAAUGGUAAAGAAUCUGCCUGCAAUGCAGGAGACCCAGGUUCGGCUCCUGGGUCGGGAA
rnacentral:tRNA from 1 species